UACGAAGGGGGCUAGCGUUGCUCGGAAUCACUGGGCGUAAAGGGUGCGUAGGCGGGUCUUUAAGUCCGGGGUGAAAUCCUGGAGCUCAACUCCAGAACUGCCUUUGAUACUGAAGAUCUUGAGUUCGGGAGAGGUGAGUGGAACUGCGAGUGUAGAGGUGAAAUUCGUAGAUAUUCGCAAGAACACCAGUGGCGAAGGCGGCUUACUGGUCCGGAUCUGACGCUGAGGCGCGAAAGCGUGGGGAGCAAACAGG
rnacentral:rRNA from 1 species